rnacentral:rRNA from 1 species
UGGGGAAUUUUGGACAAUGGGGGAAACCCUGAUCCAGCCAUCCCGCGUGUGCGAUGAAGGCCUUCGGGUUGUAAAGCACUUUUGGCAGGAAAGAAACGUCGCGGGUUAAUACCCCGCGAAACUGACGGUACCUGCAGAAUAAGCACCGGCUAACUACGUGCCAGCAGCCGCGGUAAUACGUAGGGUGCAAGCGUUAAUCGGAAUUACUGGGCGUAAAGCGUGCGCAGGCGGUCCGGAAAGAAAGAUGUGAAAUCCCAGAGCUUAACUUUGGAACUGCAUUUUUAACUACCGGGCUAGAGUGUGUCAGAGGGAGGUGGAAUUCCGCGCGUAGCAGUGAAAUGCGUAGAUAUGCGGAGGAACACCGAUGGCGAAGGCAGCCUCCUGGGAUAACACUGACGCUCAUGCACGAAAGCGUGGGGAGCAAACAGGAUUAGAUACCCUGGUAGUCCACGCCCUAAACGAUGUCAACUAGCUGUUGGGGCCUUCGGGCCUUGGUAGCGCAGCUAACGCGUGAAGUUGACCGCCUGGGGAGUACGGUCGCAAGAUU